rnacentral:rRNA from 1 species
AGCAGCCGCGGUAAUUCCAGCUCCAAUAGCGUAUAUUAAAGUUGUUGCAGUUAAAAAGCUCGUAGUUGAAUUUCGGGAUCAAUUUAUUGGUCGUGCUAUUGUACGUACUGGUAUUAUUGAUUUCUACCUUCUGACGAACCACGAUGUCAUUAAUUUGGUGUCAUGGGGAAUCAGGACUGUUACUUUGAAAAAUUAGAGUGUUUAAAGCAGGCUCACGCUUGAAUACAUUAGCAUGGAAUAACGAAAUAGGACGUUUGAUUCUAUUUUGUUGGUUUCUAGGAUCGACGUAAUGAUUAAUAGGGAUAGUUGGGGGCAUUAGUAUUCAAUUGUCAGAGGUGAAAUUCUUGGAUUUAUUGAAGACUAACUACUGCGAAAGCAUUUGCCAAGGAUGUUUUCAUUAAUCAAGAACGAAAGUUAGGGGAUCGAAGACGAUCAGAUACCGUCGUAGUCUUAACCAUAAACUAUGCCGACUAGGGAUCGGGAUGGAUGUUAAUUUUUUAAUGUACUCAUUCGGCGUCCG